ACGGGUACUCGUGGGGCGAACCGGUGAUUAUAAGUGAGUAACCUGCCCCCUACUUUGGGAUAACCCUCCAAAACGGGGGCUAAUACCCGAUAUGACGCUUGCCGGUAUCGGGCGGAGUGUACAGUUUUUCGGUGGGGGAUGGGCUCGCGGUCUAUCGCUUGCUGGUGGGGUAAUGGCCUACCAUGGCCACGACGGGUAGCCGGCCUGAGAGGGUGCCGGUUCACUGGGACUGACCACCGGCCUUAUUCUUACCGAACGAAGAAGGGGGUAAUCUUGCUCAAUGAGAGAAAGCCUGACUAACCAACGCCGCGUGGGGGAUGAAUGCCUUCCGGUUGUAAAUCCCUUUCAGCGCGAACGAAAAUGAUGGUGCCUGCAUAAAAAGGCCCGGCCAACUACUUGCCAGCAGCCUUCCUAUCACCUAGGGGCCUAGCGUUGUCCGGAGUUAGCGUGCGUAAGAGCUCGUAGGCGGUUGGGCAGUCGGGCGUGAAAAC
rnacentral:rRNA from 1 species